GGAUUAGAUACCCUGGUAGUCCACGCCGUAAACGAUGUCAACUAGCCGUCGGACCUAUUUACAGGUUUGGUGGCGCAGCUAACGCGAUAAGUUGACCGCCUGGGGAGUACGGCCGCAAGGUUAAAACUCAAAGGAAUUGACGGGGGCCCGCACAAGCGGUGGAGCAUGUGGUUUAAUUCGAUGCAACGCGAAGAACCUUACCAGCUCUUGACAUCCAGAGAACUUUCUAGAGAUAGAUUGGUGCCUUCGGGAACUCUGAGACAGGUGCUGCAUGGCUGUCGUCAGCUCGUGCCG
rnacentral:rRNA from 1 species